rnacentral:rRNA from 1 species
GAUCAACGCUGGCGGCGCACAUAAGACAUGCAAGUUGAACGGACUUAAUCGAAAUAUUUAUAUUUUGAUGCGGUUAGUGUCGGACUGGUGAGUAACGCGUAAGGAACCUGCCUAUUAGAGGGGCAUAACAGUGAGAAAUCAUUGCUAAUACCGCAUAUGCCAUAGAUAUCACAUGAUAACAGUGGGAAAGGAGCAAUCCGCUAAUAGAUGGCCUUGCGUCUGAUUAGUUAGUUGGUAGGGUAACGGCCUACCAAGGCGACGAUCAGUAGCCGGACUGAGAGGAUGAACGGCCACAUUGGGACUGAGACACGGCCCAGACUCCUACGGGAGGCAGCAGUCGGGAAUAUUGCGCAAUGGAGGAAAGUCUGACGCAGUGACGCCGCGUAUAGGAAGAAGGUUUUCGGAUUGUAAAGUAUUGUUGUCAGGGAAGAGAAAGGACAGUACCUAAGGAGGAAGCCCCGGCUAACUACGU